UGAAGUACAGCUGGUUAUCUCAACUGAGAAAUCUGCAUUGUUAAUUGCACUUUUUCCUGACCAGGCUGUGGUGUGCAAGAAGCUGAGGCAGAGGCGUGGGCCCGUGUCGUCUCUGAGGGUGGUGACCCUGAUGCAGAGAUGCUGGUUCUGUGCCGGUAUACGGUUCAGUUCAGCGUGUACUGGGGUCAGACCUUUAAGUGGCUUCUGGAGAACGACGUGGGUUAGGGGCUGGUGGUUAGCCCAUCAGCAGGAGCGAGAGCGCAGCGUCUCCAGAUCUCUGCUGAUUGUCAGCAAGGACACCUUGACCCUCUACUCUAAUGCAUCACAGCCAAGACAGGAGAGCCACGCCCUUGUUGGCGUCCACAGGGGCUCUAUGACAUAAGCCCAUCUACUUUUCUAUUAUCUAUGGCAGAGACACUACAGAACCUGUAUAAAGACAAGGAUCACAUUGGAUAUGUCAACUGGCUAAGGAAGCAGACAUCCAGGAAACCUGGGGACCCUAUAGAAGCAGCCCUUAAAUACAUAAGGCACCCUGACUAGGAGGCAGCUACACCCCUUUCUCCACUUGCUGGCCUCUUGGUGCAGCAGUGGUCCCAGUGUUUUUGGGGCAGUGUUCAGUGGACAACUGCAUUCAACAGCGAGGAAGAUCCUUGCCCCAAAGACUGCAGUUCCUAGUAUCUUCAUAUUGGAGAAUUGCAAGAAACAUUAUAAUGAGCUCUUGAUGACUAAGACCACAUUUAACACACAUUUCUAUGUGUGAAGAGGAGGCUGCCCCAUGGCAGUCUUUCCUGCCUCCAAGGCCUGCACAUGCAAGUCCAGAGCUGCUGCAUCCUGAGAGCUGGCGGGCAUGUCUGAACAAAGAGCAGCAGCAGAUCGGCCGUACACUGUUCACCAGGAGUAGCACUGGGAGAUAUAAAAUUACCAGAGUUGGUCUGUGGUGGUACCCUCCCCAACCUUGGCUGACCUACAAUCAGCCACCUGAGUCGCCUGACCCCUUCUUUGCAUGUCCGCUGUUCCUCUACAUACAUGGUCAUUCAAGCUGGCACGCACCCGGCCUGGGUGUAACACUCUUCUCACCAAGGCUGGGCUUUACAAGACCAUCCAGAGAGUCUUGGAUGUCAAGGGCUAGUACCCCAUGGCCACGGAGUGUCUGCGUUCUUCCACCACAUUACAUGUGAAUUCAUUGGUGUUGAGUACCUGUACACCCAGACCAACAAAGUGCUGCAGGAAGUCAACCGGACCCCGACACUCCAGAUGAGGCUGAUGCUGUCGAGGGACCCCUGGAGGAUGAGGGCUUUGAGGAGACAGGAUAAGGACGCCACCACCCCAGCCUCGCUGCCGGCCUCGUUCUCCACUUCAGUAGUAGCCCCGCCAGAAGGAGUGCCAAGGGCCAGAUACCAGCAGGUCUGCAGGCUGGCCAAGAGGGUCUUCAGGGGCUCACGGAUCGAAAGGUAGACUGUCUGAUAGGACUGUGGCAAACACUACCGCAGCCAGAGGAGUUGUCGACACUUUCCGUCACCAGGACAGGCUCGAGCGCGGGCGGUUCAAAGCGAUUAAAGGGAAACUGCUGGAAAGGACAGUGUUCAAUGUUGCUUUCUCAGACUUAACCCGGGUCCUGCUACGUGGCCAGGCGGCAGUCGCCUGGUCGAGGCCAUUUGCAGCCAGCUCUGUCACCAGCAUC